AGACUGUUGAUGGUGUGGACAGUCUUGAAAAAAAUCCUUGAACCAAUCCCAAGCAUGAUAAAUAUUCUCAUCUGGCUUCUAUUUGAAGCACACUAUCUCACUGUGAAGUCU
rfam:Capsicum annuum cultivar Zunla-1 chromosome 3, whole genome shotgun sequence